GAUUAGACAUCACAAAGCUCGCCUUCCUCUCUCUGUCUCUGCCACAUGAGGACAAAGAGAAAGUGGUCACCCUUAAGCCAGGAAGAUAGUUCUCAUCAGAACUCAAUCAUUCCAGCACAAUGAUCUUGGACUUCGCCUACAGAACUAGGAAAAGCCAUUUGAGGACAAAGCCAUCUAUAAACAAGGAAGAGAGCCUUUAUCAGGAACCUAAAUGACCAGCACUUUGAUCUGGGACUUCCAGCCUCCAGAACAGUGAGAAAAUAGACUUUUGUUGUUGAAGCCCCCCGGUCUGUGGUAUUUUGCUCUGGCACCUGAGCAGACUACUGCAAAGAGGAAUCAUAGCAUUAAAAAGAAAAAUGUAUAUAAUCUUUGGAAAGCACCAGAGAAUUUCAGGGGUUGAAGACCUUAUUUACCUCUCUCUCUCUCUCUCUCUCUCUCUCUCUUUCUCUCUCUCUCUCUCUCCUUCUCUCUCUCUCUCUCCUUCUCUCUCUCUCUCUCUCUCUCUCUUUCUCUCUCUCCCUCCUUCCCUCUCUCUCUCUUUCUCUCUCUCUCUCUCUCUCUCUCUCUCUCUCUCUCUCUCUCUCUCACACACACACACACACACACACACCCUGGCUCCCCACAGCAUGGCCAGGGCUCACCCAGCCAACCCCAGACUCCAACUUGGCAUCGCAGAGCAGUCUCACCAGAGAGAGCCUUAGGUGUGCCAAUUUCCACUCCUCCAUUUCCCACAGGCCUUGCAAGCACCUCGCCUCAGAAAGGGAAUUACUUGCCAACAAAGACCUACGUGGGACUUGGGGGCACUGCCCCGGGGCACUUCAUCACAGGAAGCUCCCACGGCCACAGCCUGCAGGAGCUGACACACAGAAAGAAGCUCAUUCAUAACAAGCAGCAAGCCUUUGUCAAGUUACCAUUUCACGUGUGCCAAGCAGUUAAACUCCCUGGGAGGCACCCCCUCCUAGAAGGGAAUAAAAAUAGUUCUGCCAGGGAGAACCAUCCACCCAAAGCAUCUGUGGUCAUUUAGCCCCACUGCAGUCGACCCCAGUGGUGCAGCAUGAACAGCAAUCAGAGCUCCACGAGUAGCCAGAGGACCUUGGGAAUGUAACAUGCUCAAAAGAGAAUCUAAUUGGAUCCAUGCUCAAAAACGAAGGUUCAAAUAUUUACAUUGAAGUACUAUUUGUAACGGGAUUCACAAAUGUCCAACAACAGGGGUUAGAUGAAUAAAUCAUAACAUAGUCAUUCAAUGGAAUGAUAAGAAGCCAUUAAAAUAACAUUUUAAAGGAGUACUUAAGGGGGUGCCUGGCUGGUCAGUAGGAAGAGCAUGUGACUUUUGACCUCAGGGUAGUGAGUUCGAGACACACACUGGAUGUAGACAUUGGAUAGAUGACAGAUAGAUACACAGGUAGAUAGACAGACAGACAGACAGAUGGAUAGAUGAUAGAUAAAAUUUUAGGGAUGCCUGGCUAGCUCAGCCAGAAGAACAUGCGACACUUGAUCUCGGGAUCAUGAGUUCAAACCCCACAUAGGGUGUAGAAAUUACCUAAAUAAAUGAAACUUUAAAAAAAAUAAAGGAAAAAAUAAAGGAGUCUUUAGGAUGUAGAAAAACACUCAAGAGAUGCUGUUAGGUGCAAAGAGUAGAAUAUAAAACUGUGGAUGAAAUAUGGUCUAAAUUUUAUAAAGAAAAAUCAAUCACAAGGAAAUACAUCAAAAUGUUAGGAUUUUUCCUGGAUAUUUUUCUCUUUAGAGGGUUUAUAUUUUCUAGAUUGUUUUAAAGAUUUUAUUUGUAAGUAAUCUCUACACCCAACAUGGGGCUCAAACUCACGACCACGAGAUCAAGUGUCGCAUGCUCUACCGAUUGAGCCAGCCAGGUGCCCCGAUAUUUUCUACAUUUUGUACAAUAAACAUGUGUUACUUAAUUGUCUAAAAACAAUAGCUACAUUAAGAUAAUAAAGUUACUCAUAUUCGAA